AUGGGCGGGCGAUUUAGGCGGGCAGCGCCGUUCCCGUGCCUGGCGCCGGCGGAACCGAGGCGGCCCGCUGCGGAGAGUAGCUCCACCGAGCUGUCUCACGACGGAGGCCAUGCGUGGGCUCGACGAGGCGUGAUGCACGGGCGAUUUUGGGCGGGCGGCGCAGUCCCCGUGCCUGGCGCUGGUGGAGCCGAGGCGGGCUACUACGGAGAGGAGCUCCACCGGGGUGUCGCGCAGCGGAGGUGGGCUGGUGCAGCGGAGGCUGGCCGGCGCGGCAGAGGCGGGGGCUCGCCACAGAUGCUUCCACCUCGCUGCCGUCGUCGUCCUGCUUCCUGGGUCUCCUCCGAGCUCGCCAUCAUCGCCCAAGGUGAGCGGCGCUUUACGUACCAGGUACCACCCUUAUGUAGAUAG
rnacentral:rRNA from 1 species